AGGAAGACAAAGUGCAAUAGCCAUAACUUAAAAUUAGGGCAACAAUCAAACACCAUUCUCUGGUUCAUGGAAUGAAUAUGAAGGGAGCAGCACUACGUGUUCAACCUAGUACAGUAAUAUAAGCAGGACUUCAGUGGUCUCCAUGGUUGGAACAUUCAGAGAGGAGAACAGGAUUUAAAGACUGCCACAUGCUGGUGGUAGAUGAUGUAUUUUCUCACAACAACAGAAGACUCUUAUUGUCAAAAUGGUCCUUCAAAAUAAGACGAUUCGACUGCGUGAAAUACAACAUGUGGGAUUACUGUAAAGAAAGGGUGAGUAUGGUGGGAGGCACACAUUUAUAAAACGUGUGGGUUAUUGGUGAACCAUUCAUGGAAUAUGGUGAAAGUUCACAUUGUCCAUGGCAGCAUGCAGUAAAUAGUCACGUUGCGACCAUGUCUUCUCUUAUUCAUGAGAUUGAACCCAGAUUCACCCAAGAAGAUGCACACUUGAGGCUAAUUGAGACGCUUAAUGUGGAUAAACU